UGGUAUAUUCUAUAACACAACUCAAUUUCCUUUCCCUUUUCUUUUUAAUAUUUUAAGUACUCAGAAGCUGUCUCCGUUUCCCCUGCAACUGGUUCUUAAAUAUUGCCGUUGAAAACUAUUCAAAACUAGUUUAUUAAAAUUUCAAACAAUAAACUUAGUUUUCUCGUACAAUAAAAGGGAAAAAAAAUCCCGUGUCCAGACCCAUUUUGUUGUUUUUUCUCCCUUGAUGACUUACCAAAAUUUCCAACUUUAAUUGUAAAAAAUCCCCACAUGGAUUUAGAUAAUCCUGCUGUUGCUUUUUAACCUCCGGCACCCGCGUUCCCAUGGCAUUUUAUCGUUCCUGAUCAUUUGCUGUUGUCUUAUUUGGUUCAGUUGGAGAAAAACAAUGAGAACGGAGUUGAAGAAGAAGAUAUCCAAGACUUCAUGGCCAAAUUUUAAUGUAAGGAAGUGGCUCAAUAAAAGGAGCAACGGUGAUAGCUUUCACCCAGAUUACUCUUUACCAGAGGGGUGGCUGAUGGAUUCGACAAACGAAUUGAAACAUUCCGCAGCGGUGAAGGAGGCGCCAUCUGUCAGUGACAUCGACACGCUCAACCCUAGGAUGUUCGUAGGGACGUGGAAUGUGGGAGGAAAGUCACCAAACCAAGGAUUGAACUUGAGGGAAUGGUUGAUGUUGCCUUCACCAGCUGAUAUCUAUGUCAUUGGGUUCCAAGAAAUUAUACCUCUAAACGCAGGGAACGUGCUUGGGCCAGAGGAUAGUGGCCCAGCAACGAAGUGGCUGACUCUGAUUCGUGAAGCCUUGAACUCUAACACCGGUGAAGAAAGUUGUACUACAUUAUGUAGCUCAAGUGAACAUGAAGAACAACCCUAUUAUUGCCUUGCAGCAAGUAAACAAAUGGUGGGUAUCUUCUUGUGCGUGUGGGUACGUGAGGAUCUUUACAAGCAUGUCACCAAUUUAAAAGUGUCUUGCGUUGGUAGAGGCAUCAUGGGCUAUCUGGGAAAUAAGGGUUCAGUAUCGAUUAGCAUGACAUUGUAUCACACGACGUUUUGCUUUGUUGGUACCCACUUGGCCUCUGGAGAGAAAGAUGGUGACGAGAUUCGAAGAAACUUAGACGUAUCAGAGAUCUUAAAGAAAACUAAAUUUUCUCACUCAUUCAAAGCUCUUGCCCAACCAUUCCCACCUCCUGAAACCAUAUUAGACCAUGACAAGAUUAUUUGGCUUGGGGAUUUGAAUUAUCGCCUUGCUGCUGGUUAUGAUGAUACACUUGAACUACUGAAAAAGAAUGAUUGGCAGGCACUGUUAGAGAAGGAUCAGCUGAGGAUAGAGCAAAGAGCUGGUAGAGUGUUCAAAGAAUGGAAGGAAGGGAAGAUAUACUUUGCUCCAACUUACAAAUACUUAUUUGAUUCUGACCAGUAUGUUGCUCAAACAAACAAGUCCAAGGAAAAACGACGAACACCGGCUUGGUGCGAUCGAAUUCUGUGGAAAGGAGAAGGCGUGGAGCAGUUAUGGUACGUGAGAGGAGAGUCAAAAUUCUCAGACCACAGGCCAGUGUAUUCACUGUUCUCGGUUCAGGUGGACAUGACAUGUAAGAAGCUAAGUUCCUGUGUUGUCUCAGCAUCAGAGAGUGGCUCAAUCUCAAUGUCAAGGUCAUGCUCCUCUAGAACCCUGACAAACGCUGCCUUGUCCUCUUCUUGCUUUGCUAAAGUUCAGGCAGAGGAACAACUAUUGUUACUAACCAGGGAACAUAGACACCACACCUGCAGGGUUCUCAGUUAGUACACAGGAAUAUGAUACUAUAUAUACACCAAGUGGUCACCACUCACCACUCACCACUUUCCGAGGAACAAAAGUAACACACAAGUGACACGACCAUCGAGUUGCCGCAGCUCGCGGUGUGCCCUGACAAGAGGAACAAUACCAAAAAUUCAGCAUAGAUUCUGAACUCAAGCGGAGGAAGUGCAUCGGAUGCGUGCUCCUUUUUUCUGAGCUUUUGGUAAACUAUAAGGUUUCCAUCUUCCAAAUGUUUGAUUGGUUAGUCCAUUUUGAUGGCCAUUUGAAGAAAAUUGUAAAUCAAAUUGUUUAUUACUUUUCCUGUUCAAUACAGUGUAUCGAAUUUUGUUAU